GAUGAACGCUAGCGGCAGGCUUAAUACAUGCAAGUCGAGGGGCAGCAUGAUUGUAGCAAUACAAUUGAUGGCGACCGGCAAACGGGUGCGGAACACGUACACAACCUUCCAACAAGUGGGGGAUAGCCCAGAGAAAUUUGGAUUAAUACCCCGUAACAUAGCGAUGUGGCAUCACAUUGCUAUUAUAGAUUUUUCGCUUGUUGAUGGGUGUGCGGCUGAUUAGAUAGUUGGCGGGGUAACGGCCCACCAAGUCUACGAUCAGUAGCUGAUGUGAGAGCAUGAUCAGCCACACGGGCACUGAGACACGGGCCCGACUCCUACGGGAGGCAGCAGUAAGGAAUAUUGGACAAUGGACGCAAGUCUGAUCCAGCCAUGCCACGUGAAGGAUUAAGUUCCUCUGGAUUGUAAACUUCUUUUAUAAGGGACGAAAAAAGGCUUUUCUAAGUCGUCUGACGGUACCUUAUGAAUAAGCACCGGCUAACUCCGUGCCAGCAGCCGCCGUAACAC
rnacentral:rRNA from 1 species